rnacentral:precursor_RNA from 15 species
CUCCGGGCUGUCGAUUGGACCCGUCCUCCGGUGCCUACUGAGCUGAUAUCAGUUCUCAUUUCACACACUGGCUCAGUUCAGCAGGAACAGGAGUCGAGCCCUAGAGCAAAAAGACUUCCC